rnacentral:rRNA from 1 species
GUAGGGAAUAUUGGGCAAUGGACGCAAGUCUGACCCAGCCACGCCGCGUGCAGGAAGACGGCCCUCUGGGUUGUAAACUGCUUUUGACUGGGAAGAAAAGACUCCUUGCGAGGAGAGUUGACGGUACCAGCAGAAUAAGCCACGGCUAACUACGUGCCAGCAGCCGCGGUAAUACGUAGGUGGCGAGCGUUAUCCGGAUUUAUUGGGUUUAAAGGGUGCGUAGGCGGCUGAUUAAGUCAGCGGUGAAAGGUAGCAGCUUAACUGUUUUACAUGCCGUUGAUACUGGUUAGCUUGAGUUAACAGAAGGCAGAUAGAAUUUCUGGUGUAGCGGUGAAAUGCUUAGAUACCAGGAGGAAUACCGAUUGCGAAGGCAGUCUGCUGCACGAAAGCGUGGGGAUCAAACAGGAUUAGAUACCCGAGUAGUCC